rnacentral:rRNA from 1 species
GAUGAACGCUGGCGGCGUGCUUAACACAUGCAAGUCGAACGAAGAUGCCGGAGUGCUUGCACUUUGGCAGACUGAGUGGCGGACGGGUGAGUAACGCGUGGGUAACCUGCCUUAUACAGAGGGAUAACAGUUGGAAACGACUGCUAAUACCGCAUAAGCGCACGGUAUCGCAUGAUACAGUGUGAAAAACUCCGGUGGUAUAAGAUGGACCCGCGUCUGAUUAGCUUGUUGGUGAGGUAACGGCCCACCAAGGCGACGAUCAGUAGCCGACCUGAGAGGGUGACCGACCACAUUGGGACUGAGACACGGCCCAGACUCCUACGGGAGGCAGCAGUGGGGAAUAUUGCACAAUGGAGGAAACUCUGAUGCAGCGACGCCGCGUGAGUGAAGAAGUAAUUCGUUAUGUAAAGCUCUAUCAGCAGGGAAGAUAGUGACGGUACCUGACUAAGAAGCUCCGGCUAAAUACGUGCCAGCAGCCGCGGUAAUACGUAUGGAGCAAGCGUUAUCCGGAUUUACUGGGUGUAAAGGGAGUGUAGGUGGCCAUGCAAGUCAGAAGUGAAAAUCCGGGGCUCAACCCCGGAACUGCUUUUGAAACUGUGAGGCUAGAGUGCAGGAGGGGUGAGUGGAAUUCCUAGUGUAGCGGUGAAAUGCGUAGAUAUUAGGAGGAACACCAGUGGCGAAGGCGGUCUACUGGGCACCAACUGACGCUGAGGCUCGAAAGCAUGGGUAGCAAACAGGAUUAGAUACCCUGGUAGUCCAUGCCGUAAACGAUGAUUACUAGGUGUUGGGGGAUUGACCCCCUCAGUGCCGCAGUUAACACAAUAAGUAAUCCACCUGGGGAGUACGACCGCAAGGUUGAAACUCAAAGGAAUUGACGGGGGCCCGCACAAGCAGUGGAGUAUGUGGUUUAAUUCGAAGCGACGCGAAGAACCUUACCAGGUCUUGACAUCCGAUGCAUAGCACAGAGAUGUGUGAAAUCCUUCGGGACAUCGAGACAGGUGGUGCAUGGUUGUCGUCAGCUCGUGUCGUGAGAUGUUGGGUUAAGUCCCGCAACGAGCGCAACCCUUAUUGCCAGUUACUACGUUAAGAGGACUCUGGCGAGACUGCCGUUGACAAAACGGAGGAAGGUGGGGAUGACGUCAAAUCAUCAUGCCCUUUAUGACCUGGGCUACACACGUACUACAAUGGCGUUAAACAAAGAGAAGCAAGACCGCGAGGUGGAGCAAAACUCAAAAACAACGUCUCAGUUCAGAUUGCAGGCUGCAACUCGCCUGCAUGAAGUCGGAAUUGCUAGUAAUCGCGGAUCAGCAUGCCGCGGUGAAUACGUUCCCGGGCCU